rnacentral:rRNA from 1 species
GACGAACGCUGGCGGCGUGCCUAAUACAUGCAAGUCGAACGAGAGCGACCGGUGCUUGCACUGGUCAAUCUAGUGGCGAACGGGUGAGUAACACGUGGGUAACCUGCCCAUCAGAGGGGGAUAACAUCCGGAAACGGAUGCUAAAACCGCAUAGGUCUUCGAGCCGCGUGGCUUGAAGAGGAAAAGAGGCGCAGGCUUCUGCUGAUGGAUGGACCCGCGGUGCAUUAGCUAGUUGGUGAGGUAACGGCUCACCAAGGCCGUGAUGCAUAGCCGACCUGAGAUGGUGAUCGGCCACAUUGGGACUGAGACACGGCCCAAACUCCUACGGGAGGCAGCAGUAGGGAAUCUUCCGCAAUGGACGCAAGUCUGACGGAGCAACGCCGCGUGAGUGAAGAAGGUUUUCGGAUCGUAAAACUCUGUUGUUAGAGAAGAACAAGUGCUAGAGUAACUGUUAGCGCCUUGACGGUAUCUAACCAGAAAGCCACGGCUAACUACGUG